CUGGGAGUCAAAGAUUUAUUGCUGAAAGAUGGCCUCGCGUCUGAUUAGCUAGUUGGUGGGGUAACGGCCUACCAAGGCGACGAUCAGUAGCCGGUCUGAGAGGAUGAACGGCCACAUUGGGACUGAGAUACGGCCCAGACUCCUACGGGAGGCAGCAGUGGGGAAUAUUGGGCAAUGGGGGAAACCCUGACCCAGCAACGCCGCGUGAAGGAAGAAGGCCCUCGGGUUGUAAACUUCUUUUACCAGGGACGAAGGACGUGACGGUACCUGGAGAAAAAGCAACGGCUAACUACGUGCCAGCAGCCGCGGUAAUACGUAGGUUGCAAGCGUUGUCCGGAAUUACUGGGUGUAAAGGGCGUGUAGGCGGAGGAGCAAGUCAGAUGUGAAAUCCCGGGGCUCAACCCCGGAACUGCAUUUGAAACUGUUCCCCUUGAGUAUCGGAGAGGCAAGCGGAAUUCCUAGUGUAGCGGUGAAAUGCGUAGAUAUUAGGAGGAACACCAGUGGCGAAGGCGGCUUGCUGGACGACAACUGACGCUGAGGCGCGAAAGCGUGGGGAGCAAACAGGAUUAGAUACCCUGGUAGUCCACGCUGUAAACGAUGAAUACUAGGUGUGGGGGGACUGACCCCCUCCGUGCCGGAGU
rnacentral:rRNA from 1 species